GCAGUCGAGCGGACAGAAGGGAAGCUUGCUCCCGGAUGUUAGCGGCGGACGGGUGAGUAACACGUGGGUAACCUGCCUGUAAGACUGGGAUAACUCCGGGAAACCGGAGCUAAUACCGGAUAGUUCCUUGAACCGCAUGGUUCAAGGAUGAAAGACGGUUUCGGCUGUCACUUACAGAUGGACCCGCGGCGCAUUAGCUAGUUGGUGGGGUAAUGGCUCACCAAGGCGACGAUGCGUAGCCGACCUGAGAGGGUGAUCGGCCACACUGGGACUGAGACACGGCCCAGACUCCUACGGGAGGCAGCAGUAGGGAAUCUUCCGCAAUGGACGAAAGUCUGACGGAGCAACGCCGCGUGAGUGAUGAAGGUUUUCGGAUCGUAAAGCUCUGUUGUUAGGGAAGAACAAGUGCGAGAGUAACUGCUCGCACCUUGACGGUACCUAACCAGAAAGCCACGGCUAACUACGUGCCAGCAGCCGCGGUAAUACGUAGGUGGCAAGCGUUGUCCGGAAUUAUUGGGCGUAAAGGGCUCGCAGGCGGUUUCUUAAGUCUGAUGUGAAAGCCCCCGGCUCAACCGGGGAGGGUCAUUGGAAACUGGGAAACUUGAGUGCAGAAGAGGAGAGUGGAAUUCCACGUGUAGCGGUGAAAUGCGUAGAGAUGUGGAGGAACACCAGUGGCGAAGGCGACUCUCUGGUCUGUAACUGACGCUGAGGAGCGAAAGCGUGGGGAGCGAACAGGAUUAGAUACCCUGGUAGUCCACGCCGUAAACGAUGAGUGCUAAGUGUUUAGGGGGGUUUCCGCCCCUUAGUGCUGCAGCUAACGCAUUAAGCACUCCGCCUGGGGGAGUACGGUCGCAAGACUGAAACUCAAAGGAAUUGACGGGGGCCCGCACAAGCGGUGGAGCAUGUGGUUUAAUUCGAAGCAACGCGAAGAACCCUUACCAGGUCUUGACAUCCUCUGACAACCCUAGAAGAUAGGGCUUUCCCUUCGGGGACAGAGUGACAGUGGUGCAUGGUGUCGUCAGCUCGUGUCGUGAAGAAUGUUUG
rnacentral:rRNA from 1 species